GACCAACUGAGCUAUGAAGUCACACAGUGGUGAGCUUUCAAGUUUAGAAAGUUUGAAAUUCCUUUCGAUUUUACUAUAAUAUAAGAGAGGGAUGUUGGGAAAUCAUUAAUCGUUUGAGUUGAGACUAACAAGACUUACCGAAGUAUCGGGAGACGUUUUUCGCGUUAACAAUCGUGUAUCUUCAGUCGAUACAGACACGGAAAACGCUAUAAAGUUUUGUCAUUCAAUCGAUAAAUGGAAAACAUUGAAACGCACGGACGUGAUCUUGUCGACAAUUUGGGCAAUCUCAAGAAAGAAACUUAUAUUGCCAAAUUUACAACCGACUUAAAUCACUGGGAUAUACCUGAAAUACCGAGAAUGAAUGCUUUGUUAGACGAGCAAUCGUCAAAGUUGAUAGGAUUUCUUAGAGCAAUCGACCAACACGUGAACAUACUUCGUACAGAAAUGAGAACCGAGAAUGACCAACUCAGAGAAGACAUUAGACAAUUGAGGGCAGAGUUUGCAGAUAUGCAAAGGCAAAGUAACGAAAUGAUAAGGAACAUUUCAACUUGACUCAAUACUAUUUUGGGCUUUCAAUCUCGAACAAUGUAUUCACAUUUUUUAAAGCAGUUUUGCAGACACUAAACCUACGUUACUUAACGUCUAAAAAGCUCUUGAUAUCCGUCUAAAGCAUCAUUUACAAUGUAAUGUUUUUACAAAUAUGGCUAGUAACGCCGGUAAUUGUAAUUUUACUUGUAGAUAUAAACAUUGCUUAGUUUAAUAACUUCAUUUAUCCUUUUAAUAAUUUGUAUAAAAAUAAAUAAAGGAACAGUUAUAAGUUUUUAA